GUCGUGAGAUGUUGGGUUAAGUCCCGCAACGAGCGCAACCCUCGCCCUUAGUUGCCAUCAUUCAGUUGGGCACUCUAAGGGGACUGCCGGUGAUAAGCCGGAGGAAGGUGGGGAUGACGUCAAGUCCUCAUGGCCCUUACAGGUUGGGCUACACACGUGCUACAAUGGCGGUGACAGAGGGAUGCAAUGGAGUAAUCCUGCGCAAAUCUCAAAAAGCCGUCUCAGUUCGGAUUGUGCUCUGCAACUCGAGCACAUGAAGUUGGAAUCGCUAGUAAUCGCAGAUCAGCACGCUGCGGUGAAUACGUUCCCGGGCCUUGUACACACCGCCCGUCACACCAUGGGAGUUGGCUUUACCUGAAGACGGUGCGCUAACCGCAAGGAGGCAGCCGGCCACGGUAGGGUCAGCGACUGGGGUGAAGUCGUAACAAGGUAGCCGUAGGGGAACCUGCGGCUGGAUCACCUCCUUUCUAAGGAUGAUCCUUCAGAGCGAGCAUCCGUUCGUCUCUAUCGGAUCCUCUUGGAAACAUAAGGGCUCAGUCAGAGCCCUAAUUUGCGGGACACCGCCGUCUUUGUUUCUCUUUCUUCACGGACGAGCCCGUGCCGGAUUCCGGCGCGGCGGCAACGUGUAUGUUGUGUGCCGCGGCGAAGAAUUCGGCCGUUCGUUAGGAUCAAGGGCUUGUAGCUCAGUUGGUUAGAGCGCGCGCUUGAUAAGCGUGAGGUCGGAAGUUCAAGUCUUCCCAGGCCCACCAUGCUCUCGCGUUCGGUGUCGUGCUGCGCGUGAAGGUGUGCGCUCGCCGGGGCCAUAGCUCAAUUGGGAGAGCGCCUGCUUUGCAAGCAGGAGGUCGUCGGUUCGAUCCCGUCUGGCUCCACCAUUCUCGCGUGGAGCGCGGGAUCUUUGGUUUGAUCAUCGGAUCGAACUUUGGCUCGUCCGUCGAAAAACAAUUCCGCAACCGUCAUGUCGCCAAACGGCUGCAUGCGGGUGCGUGAUAUCUGACAUCGUGAAGAGGUAGGAUCGCUCCGAGCAUCGCUCGUGACUGAAAAGUCGCGGACGGCGCGCUACUCCGAGCAUCAAACGUGAUCGAACCGUGCGUGGCGUAAGCUGCGACGCGGCGAGAUCGCGCCGUUGCUAUGUCGGCAUUGCUUGACCGCAGUUGCCGUCGGAACGGUCCGAAGACAAGCUGGUCUUUCUAAUCAAUGUCCAACCGGUCGAACUGUUCGCCGCGAACGCAAGUUCAAAGCAACGAUCGCCCGGCCGCUGCCGAGCGGAUGGGCAUUGAUGAUGAGAGCGAUCAAGUGCCUUAAGGGCGUUCGGUGGAUGCCUUGGCGCUGAGAGGCUAUGAAGGACGUGCUACGCUGCGAAAAGCCGCGAGGAGCUGCGAAGAAGCUUUGAUCCGCGGAUGU
rnacentral:sRNA from 1 species